ACGCGUCCGAGCACGUUUCUGAUUACUUCCCAUCUGAAACAAGAAAAUUAUAAACUGUGUUUUAGUUCUUUAUACUAAUAACCUCGGAUUCUAUGUAACUGUAAAAUACUGUUGUAACACGUCGUAUUAUAUUAUUUUAUGUCCAAACAGAAAUUAAACUGGCAUACCGUGGAAUCAGAACCUUUGAGGGAAUCAAGAGAGGUCGAGAGCGUUUUUCUAUCUUCGUUUGUUGAAAAGAGAACCAAAAAAAAAAUAGAUUUAAUGAAAUGAUGCGUUCAAAAUCCGGUUAAAUUAUUAAGUCUGAUAGACGGAUCCGCAGGACCUGUUACAGGAUCGAAACCUCCGGAAAAAUCCACCGAUCUGGCAGCCCUCUUUUCUAUUAAGUUUAGGACCGUAAAUUUACCUUUCAUACAUAUAUACACACAUGCACAUGGCUUAAUCGCUGCUUAGCAUAGACAAUAUGGUAAUAACUCUUUGAUUCAAGAGAGUGCUGUCCUAUUUAGUCAAAUAUGUACCAAGCUACAUAAUGGAACUUCUAGCGUGUGAUGAGUUGCGUUGUCCUCAUAGCAUAUAGCUCCCAUACAAACUGCUAGAUCAUAAUCAAGCUCUUGUAAGAACAAUUUGAAGAUGCCUUCACGAAAUUUGGUACUGUUUAUUAUUCAAGGCAACACCAUAAUUCUCAAAUUGUUCGGACCACUUUACAGUAAAACUGACCGAUGAAAAUGUAGCCAACUAAGAAGAACUAACAAAACGUUGUUUGUUGGAUGAAAACCAUUGACCGGUUACCUGAUAACAUUUAAAUAUACAUAUUGCUAAAAGAAAUGCGCAUUCUUGCCGUUUUGUUACCAAGUUAACGUUUUGUGAUGCUCAGUUAACAGAAUUCCUCAAGUUGAAAUAAAUGUGAAAAGCAUUAAAGAUAG